UAAUAGCUCACUGGUCGAGUCGGCCUGCGCGGAAGAUGUAACGGGGCUAAACCAUGCACCGAAGCUGCGGCAGCGACGCUUAUGCGUUGUUGGGUAGGGGAGCGUUCUGUAAGCCUGCGAAGGUGACCUGUGAGGGUUGCUGGAGGUAUCAGAAGUGCGAAUGCUGACAUAAGUAACGAUAAAGCGGGUGAAAAGCCCGCUCGCCGGAAGACCAAGGGUUCCUGUCCAACGUUAAUCGGGGCAGGGUGAGUCGACCCCUAAGGCGAGGCCGAAAGGCGUAGUCGAUGGGAAACAGGUUAAUAUUCCUGUACUUGGUGUUACUGCGAAGGGGGGACGGAGAAGGCUAUGUUAGCCGGGCGACGGUUGUCCCGGUUUAAGCAUGUAGGCUGGUUAUCCAGGCAAAUCCGGAUAAUCAAGGCUGAGGUGUGAUGACGAGGCACUACGGUGCUGAAGUAACAAAUGCCCUGCUUCCAGGAAAAGCCUCUAAGCAUCAGGUAACA
rnacentral:rRNA from 1 species